rnacentral:rRNA from 1 species
GACGAACGCUGGCGGCGUGCUUAACACAUGCAAGUCGAACGGAAAGGCCCUGCUUUUGUGGGGUGCUCGAGUGGCAAACGGGUGAGUAACACGUGAGUAACCUGCCCUUGACUUUGGGAUAACUUCAGGAAACUGGGGCUAAUACCGGAUAGGAGCUCCUGCUGCAUGGUGGGGGUUGGAAAGUUUCGGCGGUUGGGGAUGGACUCGCGGCUUAUCAGCUUGUUGGUGGGGUAGUGGCUUACCAAGGCUUUGACGGGUAGCCGGCCUGAGAGGGUGACCGGCCACAUUGGGACUGAGAUACGGCCCAGACUCCUACGGGAGGCAGCAGUGGGGAAUAUUGCACAAUGGGCGGAAGCCUGAUGCAGCAACGCCGCGUGCGGGAUGACGGCCUUCGGGUUGUAAACCGCUUUCGCCUGUGACGAAGCGUGAGUGACGGUAAUGGGUAAAGAAGCACCGGCUAACUACGUGCCAGCAGCCGCGGUGAUACGUAGGGUGCGAGCGUUGUCCGGAUUUAUUGGGCGUAAAGGGCUCGUAGGUGGUUGAUCGCGUCGGAAGUGUAAUCUUGGGGCUUAACCCUGAGCGUGCUUUCGAUACGGGUUGACUUGAGGAAGGUAGGGGAGAAUGGAAUUCCUGGUGGAGCGGUGGAAUGCGCAGAUAUCAGGAGGAACACCAGUGGCGAAGGCGGUUCUCUGGGCCUUUCCUGACGCUGAGGAGCGAAAGCGUGGGGAGCGAACAGGCUUAGAUACCCUGGUAGUCCACGCUGUAAACGGUGGGUACUAGGUGUGGGGUCCAUUCCACGGGUUCCGUGCCGUAGCUAACGCUUUAAGUACCCCGCCUGGGGAGUACGGCCGCAAGGCUAAAACUCAAAGGAAUUGACGGGGCCCCGCACAAGCGGCGGAGCAUGCGGAUUAAUUCGAUGCAACGCGUAGAACCUUACCUGGGUUUGACAUGGAUCGGGAGUGCUCAGAGAUGGGUGUGCCUCUUUUGGGGUCGGUUCACAGGUGGUGCAUGGCUGUCGUCAGCUCGUGUCGUGAGAUGUUGGGUUAAGUCCCGCAACGAGCGCAACCCUUGUUCACUGUUGCCAGCACGUUAUGGUGGGGACUCAGUGGAGACCGCCGGGGUCAACUCGGAGGAAGGUGGGGAUGACGUCAAGUCAUCAUGCCCCUUAUGUCCAGGGCUUCACGCAUGCUACAAUGGCUGGUACAGAGAGUGGCGAGCCUGUGAGGGUGAGCGAAUCUCGGAAAGCCGGUCUCAGUUCGGAUUGGGGUCUGCAACUCGCCCUCAUGAAGUCGGAGUCGCUAGUAAUCGCAGAUCAGCAACGCUGCGGUGAAUACGUUCCCGGGGCU